CCUACGGGAGGCAGCAGUGGGGAAUCUUGCACAAUGGAGGAAACUCUGAUGCAGCGAUGCCGCGUGAGUGAAGAAGGCCUUUGGGUUGUAAAGCUCUUUCGUCGGGGAAGAAAAUGACUGUACCCGAAUAAGAAGGUCCGGCUAACUUCGUGCCAGCAGCCGCGGUAAUACGAAGGGACCUAGCGUAGUUCGGAAUUACUGGGCUUAAAGAGUUCGUAGGUGGUUGAAAAAGUUAGUGGUGAAAUCCCAGAGCUUAACUCUGGAACUGCCAUUAAAACUUUUCAGCUAGAGUAUGAUAGAGGAAAGCAGAAUUUCUAGUGUAGAGGUGAAAUUCGUAGAUAUUAGAAAGAAUACCAAUUGCGAAGGCAGCUUUCUGGAUCAUUACUGACGCUGAGGAACGAAAGCAUGGGUAGCGAAGAGGAUUAGAUACCCUCGUAGUCCAUGCCGUAAACGAUGUGUGUUAGACGUUGGAAAUUUAUUUUCAGUGUCGCAGCGAAAGCGAUAAACACACCGCCUGGGGAGUACGACCGCAAGGUUAAAACUCAAAUGAAUUGACGG
rnacentral:rRNA from 1 species